rnacentral:tRNA from 1 species
GCGCUCUUAGUUCAGUUCGGUAGACGCGGGUCUCCAAAACCCGAUGUCGUAGGUUCAAAUCCUACAGAGCGUG